rnacentral:tRNA from 1 species
AGCUCAGUUAGUAAAGAAUCUGCCUGCAAUGCAGAAGACCCAGGUUCAAUUCCUGG